rnacentral:rRNA from 1 species
GACGAACGCUGGCGGCGCGCCUAACACAUGCAAGUCGAACGAGCGAGAGGAGGUUUACUUUCUCAAGCGAGUGGCGAACGGGUGAGUAACGCGUGAGGAACCUGCCUCAAAGAGGGGGACAACAGUUGGAAACGACUGCUAAUACCGCAUAAGCCCACGACCCGGCAUCGGGUAGAGGGAAAAGGAGCAAUCCGCUUUGAGAUGGCCUCGCGUCCGAUUAGCUAGUUGGUGAGGUAAUGGCCCACCAAGGCGACGAUCGGUAGCCGGACUGAGAGGUUGAACGGCCACAUUGGGACUGAGACACGGCCCAGACUCCUACGGGAGGCAGCAGUGGGGAAUAUUGCACAAUGGGGGAAACCCUGAUGCAGCGACGCCGCGUGGAGGAAGAAGGUCUUCGGAUUGUAAACUCCUGUUGUUGAGGAAGAUAAUGACGGUACUCAACAAGGAAGUGAUGGCUA